UACGGAGGAUGCGAGCGUUAUCCGGAUUUAUUGGGUUUAAAGGGUGCGUAGGCGGGCUGUUAAGUCAGCGGUGAAAGGCGGCGGCUCAACCGUCGGACUGCCGUUGAAACUGGCGGCCUUGAGUGCGUUUGAAGUGGGCGGAAUGUGCGGUGUAGCGGUGAAAUGCAUAGAUAUCGCACAGAACGCCGAUUGCGAAGGCAGCCCACUAAGCCGCAACUGACGCUGAGGCACGAAAGCGCGGGGAUCGAACAGG
rnacentral:rRNA from 1 species